rnacentral:lncRNA from 1 species
AUAAAAGUAUCAAAUACCAUUGUCAAUGGAUGCAAAAGUCUUAUUACAAUAAUGACACUGUAGUUAUAGAAUUCUGAGAAGGGACAUAAUAUUGGUAUUCAGCAUGCAAAAUUUUUAAAGCCAAUAAGUUCAUAAAUGCACUAAUCCAAAAGUUCAGUAACCAAAGCUGUGCCUACAGUGCUUCCACCCUCACGAACUGUGAAGCGUUGUCCUUUUUCGAUGACAAUGGGGUGAAUAAGCGUACAGAUCAUCUCGACAUUGUCUCCAGGCAUAACCAUUUUGUCUGAGUCGUUAGGAUCAGGGUGGGUAAGUUCGACAGUAACGUCGGAAGUACGACUGUACAGUUGGGGACGAUACUUGUCAACGAAACCGGUACGACGACCUCCUUCCUCUUUUGUCAAAAUAUAGAAUGAUGCCUUGAAUUUCUGAUGAGGAGCAACGGUUCCUGGUUGAGCGACAAUCAUUCCACGUUUUAAUUGCUCUCGCUUGAUAGAACGAAGUAAAAGGCCACAAUUGUCACCGGCAACGGCGGCAUCAAGCUGCUUUUUGAACAUUUCAAUUCCAGUAACGGUAGUCUUUAAAUGGCUACCAUAACCGACGAUUUCGAUUUCAGCACCCUUCUUUAAAGUACCGCGCUCGACACGGCCAGUGACUACAGUUCCGCGACCUGAAAUUGAAAAAACGUCCUCGAUGGCCAUCAAGAAAGGGACAUCCGUUUUUCUUUCAGGAAGAGUAAUAUAACUAUCAACAGCUUCCAUCAAUUUAGUAAUACUAUUGAGACCAAUCUCAGGCUCACGACCCUCUAAGGCACAUAAAGCACUGCCGCUAACAAUUGGAGUAUUGUCACCAUCAAAUCCGUAUUCGGAGAGUAGCUCACGCAUUUCCAUUUCGACAAGCUCGAUCAUAUCAGGCUCGACCAUAUCGACUUUAUUGAUGUAUACAACAAUUUGCUUUACACCGACUUGACGAGCCAGAAGCAAAUGUUCACGAGUUUGAGGCAUUUGACCAUCGGUAGCAGAAACAACAAUGAUAGCGCCAUCCAUUGUAGCAGCACCAGUAAUCAUAUUCUUAAUGUAAUCGGCGUGACCAGGACAAUCCACAUGGGCAUAGUGACGAUUAGCAGUUUCGUAUUCAACAUGGGCAGAUGAAAUGGUAAUACCACGUGCCUUUUCCUCGGGGGCCUUGUCAAUUUGACUAUAAUCCAUAAAACUAGCUUGACCAAGAUCAGAAAGGCAUUUAGUAAUAGCAGCCGUCAACGUCGUUUUACCGUGGUCAACAUGACCAAUAGUACCAAUAUUGACAUGCGGCUUUUUUCUAACGAACACCUUAAAAAAGUUAACAAGUAAUCAAAAAGAUGAAGAAUGAAAAAAAAAUACCUUUUCGUCAGCAUAAGUUCGAGCUGGGACGGUGAACCGGUUAAUCAAACCUGAAGCGAAAGAAAUGCGGUUCAAUCGCAAGCAAUUUUUUCUAAAGCCUUGAAAGAGGAGAGAGGUAGCUUUAGCUGAAUUCAUAACGAAGGGAGCGUGUAGGCAGAGGAGAGGUCUCUGGCGCUCGUGUUGUCCUUGAAAUAAGUCUCAGCGGUGCGCAUCGUUAUGAGAAUACUAUUGACACGAGCAUUUCAUGAAAUAAAUGGUCCUGGGUGUUUGGAUACAAUCAAUAUUUGUAGAAUUUAUUUUAUUUUGUUCUAUUUUACCGCUACGCCUAUAUAUGAUGAUACGCUUGUUAAUAAUAAAAAAAUACUAGAUGAACUAGUGAACAACACCGCCAAAUCGAAAGCAAUUGAUAGUUUUUUUUUAUUUGCACAAUGAAUGGUAUUAUGUCUCUGAUCUCUAAAGGAAUGUCAAUCUGAUUUUGCUAGAUCGCAAGAGCAACCACCAUGCAAGCAAAAAUCGCUUACUAUCCUGUCAAGUACAAAGAAUAAAACCAUUAAUGAAAAGUCUCAAUGACAAAGCUCAGCGUCUCGUGAAUGUUGGUUAACUUCGAAGAGUCUUUUGCUUUUAUUAAGUAAAAGGAUGUAAGGAAUAACAAGAAGUGGUGCGUGACUAAAGAAAGAUAAAACUAUCCAUCCAACGGAAUAAAGGAAAAUCAAACUUUUCUGUAAUAUAGAAUACUCAAAUCAAAAGUCGUUACUAUUGUACGAAGAAGCACCUCUAAAGCGAAAAAUUUUAA